rnacentral:rRNA from 1 species
UACGUAGGGGCCGAGCGUUGUCCGGAGUUAUUGGGCGUAAAGCGCGCGCAGGCGGCCUCGCGCGCCCGACGUGAAAGCCCCCGGCUUAACCGGGGAGGGUCGUUGGGGACGGCGGGGCUUGAGGGCGGGAGAGGUCGGUGGAAUUCCCGGUGUAGUGGUGAAAUGCGUAGAGAUCGGGAGGAACACCUGUGGCGAAGGCGGCCGACUGGGCCGACCCUGACGCUGAGGCGCGACAGCGUGGGGAGCAAACAGG